UACGGGGGGGGCAAGCGUUGUCCGGAAUUAUUGGGCGUAAAGAGCUCGUAGGCGGUUUGUCGCGUCGAAUGUGAAAACCCGGGGCUCAACCCCGGGCCUGCAUUCGAUACGGGCAGACUAGAGUUCGGUAGGGGAGUCUGGAAUUCCUGGUGUAGCGGUGAAAUGCGCAGAUAUCAGGAGGAACACCGGUGGCGAAGGCGGGACUCUGGGCCGAUACUGACGCUGAGGAGCGAAAGCGUGGGGAGCAAACAGG
rnacentral:rRNA from 1 species